rnacentral:rRNA from 1 species
CCUACGGGAGGCAGCAGUGAGGAAUAUUGGUCAAUGGUCGGGAGACUGAACCAGCCAAGCCGCGUGAGGGAUGAAGGUACAGAGUAUCGUAAACCUCUUUUGUCAGGGAACAAAGGCGGGGACGUGUCCCCGGAUGAGUGUACCUGAAGAAAAAGCAUCGGCUAACUCCGUGCCAGCAGCCGCGGUAAUACGGAGGAUGCGAGCGUUAUCCGGAUUUAUUGGGUUUAAAGGGUGCGCAGGCGGUCUGUUAAGUCAGCGGUCAAAGCCCGGGGCUCAACCCCGGCGCGCCGUUGAAACUGGCAGUCUUGAGUUGGAGAGAAGUAUGCGGAAUGCGCGGUGUAGCGGUGAAAUGCAUAGAUAUCGCGCAGAACUCCGAUUGCGAAGGCAGCAUGCCGGCUCCACACUGACGCUGAGGCACGAAAGCGUGGGUAUCGAACAGGAUUAGAUACCCCGGUAGUC